rnacentral:lncRNA from 1 species
GGGUACCAAAGUCCACUCUGAGCUUUUCCUCUGGGAACAGAUCCCAGAUUAUUCCAGACUUAAGACAUGGAGAUAUAUCUUGCUAGAGGCCAUUUUGAAGAUCUCAGUUUUACUGAAAGGGGUCUGCCACACAUAACUUCCCUGGUGUACCAGCAACAAGUGUUCAGUGGACCAUGGCAACACAAAGAAUGACGGAGGAGAGAAAAUGCCAUGCAGAAGUGAUAGUCAAGAUGAAGAUGUGGGAGAGGAGCAGCCCCCAGUAUAUAUUCAGUGUGUCCUCUGAAGUAACAACCAUCCCAUCUGGCUGAGAAGUGAUGGACACGGCUCCUUAACCACACUGUACCCUCUGUUCUUGGCACCUCUCUACCAGAAAGAUAUCAACAAAUUGGAUGGAAUUCAGAGAACAUGACUUCCUAUUAUCCUUCUCAAAGUUAUUGCUGCAGAGGAAAGAAGCAUACAUCUUUUACCCACCAGGAAACCCCCAAAGCAUCUAUUACCAUAAUAGCCAUGGGAAACAGAAGGCACCUCAAAUAAAGGUGGGGAAAAGAAUGAAAGAAAUGGCUUUGGCCUGUGCCUGUUUGACCUCUGAGAGAUACUUUUUGCAAGAAAUUGUUAAGUUUUGGCCCAAAAAGUGGUCGGUCUUUUAUCCUUCCUUGUGGAGGCCAAACUGCAAACCAGGAUGAAGAAACCAUCAGUGGCAGUUUGGGGAGGUGGAGGAGGGACUAUCUAGACUCAGUGAAUCACCAAGGAAACAUGAGGCCUAUUUCUCUGUGAAGCUGAACUUCAAAAAACAAUCUAAGAGAUACAAAGGGAAAAGUGUGACUGCUCUGACAGCAAAAACAAGCAAAUAUCUCCAGAGGGGAUUAAUCCUUCUGCUUCAAAGUAACUAAAACAAAGAAAGCUGAGCCAGCUUCACUGGAAACAACACCUGUCCAUCAGACAAGGAUGAGCUAAUCAAAAGAAAACACUGCCUAUGUGCACGACUCAGCAGCCUGGACAGCUAAUACCAAGGAACACGUUUUCACUAUAAAGAUUCAGCUUUCAAAAUCCAGUUCCCUCUUGUAGAGCCACAGGGUUAAAAGGGACCUUAGAGAUCAUCUACAUACAGGCCAAACCCUCAAUGAAUGCCAGUGUUCGCCUUAUGUUCUUCUUGCCGGACUCUUUUCUGGCCUCUGUUCUGUCAGGAUGUUUCCUGUUUUGCAAAACAGCUUUAAUCCUUGAGUAUAUUUAAUUGUUAGAAAACAGUUCCUCAAAUUUGACCCCAAAUUUAAGUCUAAUUUAUGAAGAAAGUUUUGCCUUUGGAGACAGGUUUAAUUUUACUUCCAUGUGGAAAACCUUCAAAUAAAAUGAUGACUAUUGUGUACUC